rnacentral:lncRNA from 1 species
UGGCAACCCGCUUGGGUCCCCUUCCACCCUGUGGAGGCUCUGUUCUUUUGCUCUUCACAGUCAAUCUUGCUGCUGCUCACUCGUUGGGUCUGCACUACCUUUAUGGGCUGUAACACUCACUGUGAAGGUCUGUGGCUUCACUCCUAAAGUCAGCGAGACCACGAACCUACAGGGAGGAAUGAACAACUCUGGACUCACCACCUUUAAGAGCUGUAAUGCUCACUGUGAAGGUCUGCGGCUUUACUCCUGAAGUCAGGAAGACCACGAACCCACCAGAAGGAAUAAACUCCGGACACAUCUGAACAUCUGAAAGAACAAACUCUGGACAUACCAUCUUUAAGAACUGUAACACUCACCGCGAGGGUCCACGGCUUCAUUCCUGAAGUCAGCGAGACCAAGAACCCACUGGAAGGAACCAAUUCUGGACACAGUUGGGCCCUGAACAGACUGGAUGAUGCCCACCCACACGGAUGAAGGGCGGAUGUUGUUUACUCAGUCUGCUGAUUCCAACGCUAAUCUUUUCCAGAAACACCAUCACAGACACACCGAGAAAUAAUGCUUUAUCACCUAUGUGGGCAUUCUUGAGCCCAAUCAAGUUGCCACAUGAAAUUUACCAUCACACCUACCUGUCCACCUCUGCCCACACCUACUUUAAGUUUAACCCAAUAAUAAAUGAGACUUAAUCUCAUUUUUAGAGCCCUCCAAUGAAAAAUUUGUUAU